UUAACUAUUGAGCCAGUUGCAUCAACACAUAAUAUUGGGGUGGCCAAAUUUGGCAGGUGGCUUGGCUCAGGGUCUCCGAAGUCCAUCGAUUUAUUUGCCUGUGAUGCUCGCCAUACAUGUGGUUCCAUUCUGCCCUCACAAAGUUCCUUGGCUACCUGCACACGCAACUGUCCAGAUAGAAACGGCUUUGAGCUACCAGUGUGUAGGGAGUCAUCACUGUUCUUAAUGACACAGUUGAAUAUUAUUGGACUGUUAAUUUCUGGCUCUCCGCUACAAUUAAUGUUGAGAAGGCCAUGACACUCCUUGCAGUAUCCUCUGAUUUCGAUAUAAUUAUUUGAGACCAAUGGAUAGACCUUGGCUCUUUUAAAAACAAAUGUGCAAGGAAUUUUGACUGUUUUCCAGAUUUGUUCAUUUAUGAUGUGGGUCCAGGUGCCAGGCUUCAAAAUUGUAUAUUCUCUUUUUCGGGUUCGACAGUUCUUAUCUUUGUAUUCAGCCUUUUCCGGAAUAAAUUCCAUCCACUUGUCAAAAGGAAUAUGAAGCUGAAAGGGCCGUUCAAAGUUGCACGUCUUUGUUUUUCGCCACCCUGUUGCGAUAUGUCUUACCGGCCUGCAGAGGUCACUUGGCAUGGUAAUUAGUUGGAUAAUACAUGUGUAAGAAUUAAGGAGUUAUCAUGAUGUCAAGUGAAAAAGAAUAAAAUACAUGACAGGGGGUUAAUGAAGAUGCAUGAUUUUAAUAAUGAAAAAUUGCAAUGGCACAAACAAAUGGUUAAUUAACGAUCCAUGGAGCAAGGAUUUGACAUCUCUAGAAAAUAAAUUA